GACGAACGCUGGCGGCGUGCUUAACACAUGCAAGUCGAACGGAGUGGCGAACGGGUGAGUAAAACGUGGGUGACCUGCCCUGCACUUCGGGAUAAGCCUGGGAAACUGGGUAUAAUACCGGCUAGUGUGGGAUGGGCCCGGGGCCUAUCAGCUUGUGGGUGGGGUAAUGGCCUACCAGGGCGGCGACGGGUAGCCGGCCUGAGAGGGUGGACGGCAACAUGGGGACUGAGACACGGCCCAGACUCCUACGGGAGGCAGCAGGGGGGAAUAGUGGACAAUGGGCGGAAGCCUGAUGCAGCGACGCCGCGUGGGGGAUGACGGCCUUCGGGUUGUAAAGUACUUUCAGCGGGGAGGAUGUUAAUACCCUUGUCAAUUGACGUACCCGCAGAAGAAGCACCGGUACUCGUGCCAGCAGCCGCGGUAAUAC
rnacentral:rRNA from 1 species